GCACCCAUAGCUCAGAUGGAUAGAGUGCUGCCCUCCGAAGGCAGAGGUCGCGCGUUCGAGUCGCGCUGGGUGUACCA
rnacentral:tRNA from 1 species